CGGCCGGGUGGUCCUCCUGGGUGCCUCAGGGGCCCGGGGAGCAGGGGUCAGGGCGAGUGGCUGCUCCCUGGCCUCAGGUGACCUGGGUGCCCGGUGAGUGAGGCAUGGCAGGCGAUACCGGACCCCACCCACCGCGUACACCUGUGGAAUAGCGAUUGCCAUGAUUGGGCUGGGAGCUGGCAGGUAAUCAGAACUGAGCAGAUGAUUGGGUCACAGCCAGGAGACUGAUUUUGUAUCUAGAAGUUUCUGUUUCACAAUCGCUAAGCUACUCAUGCUCAAAGAUUAGUGUCAACAAGAAAUAAAUAGACUCUGAUACAGAUAUAAAAUGAACGCACGUUCAAGAUUUCCUUCAACUCACUGUUAGUGCAGAAACCGGUAAGAUGUGCCAGCCAGGUCAAAGGAGAAGUGACAAAGGCACCUGUGUACGUGGAGUAAAGGGAUACAGGGAC
rnacentral:lncRNA from 1 species